GAUGAACGCUGGCGGCGUGCUUAACACAUGCAAGUCGAACGAGAAGUGAAGACGGAAACCUUCGGGCGGAAGGCUUUAUUUCGAUUGGCGGACGGGUGAUUACCUCUUGGGUAACCUGCCUCAUACAGGGGGAUAACAGUUUGAAACGACUUUUAAUACCGCAUAAGACCACCGCACCGCAUGGUGCGGGGGUAAAAACUCCGGUGGUAUGAGAUGGACCCGCGUUCGAUUAGCCAGUUGUCGGGGUAACGGCCCACCAAAGCGACGAUCGAUAGCCGAUAAGAGAGAAAGACCGGAGACAUUGGGGCGGAGACACAGCAGAGAAUCCUACGGGAGGCAGGAGAGGGGAAUAGAGCAAAACGGGGGAAACGAUGAAGGAGCGAGGAUGGGUGAGUGAAGAAGUAAGUCGGUAUGAAAAGCGUAAUCAGCAGGGAAGAAAAUGACGGUACCUGAGCAAGAAGCCCCGGCUAACUACGUG
rnacentral:rRNA from 1 species